AACGAACGCUGGCGGCAUGCCUAACACAUGCAAGUCGAACGAAGCCUUCGGGCUUAGUGGCGCACGGGUGCGUAACACGUGGGAAUCUGCCCUUAGGUACGGAAUAACAGUUAGAAAUGACUGCUAAUACCGUAUGAUGACUCCGGUCCAAAGAUUUAUCGCCUAAGGAUGAGCCCGCGUCGGAUUAGCUAGUUGGUGAGGUAAAGGCUCACCAAGGCGACGAUCCGUAGCUGGUCUGAGAGGAUGAUCAGCCACACUGGGACUGAGACACGGCCCAGACUCCUACGGGAGGCAGCAGUGGGGAAUAUUGGACAAUGGGCGAAAGCCUGAUCCAGCAAUGCCGCGUGAGUGAAGAAGGCCUUAGGGUUGUAAAGCUCUUUUACCCGGGAUGAUAAUGACAGUACCGGGAGAAUAAGCUACCGGCUAACUCCGUG
rnacentral:rRNA from 1 species